rnacentral:rRNA from 1 species
ACUCCUACGGGAGGCAGCAGUGGGGAAUAUUGGACAAUGGGCGCAAGCCUGAUCCAGCCAUGCCGCGUGUGUGAAGAAGGCUCUAGGGUUGUAAAGCACUUUCAGUGGGGAGGAUAAGUUAUCGGUUAAUACCUGGUAAUGCAGACGUUACCCACAGAAGAAGCACCGGCAAACUCCGUGCCAGCAGCCGCGGUAAUACGGAGGGGGUUAGCGUUGUUCGGAAUUACUGGGCGUAAAGCGCGCGUAGGCGGAUUGGAAAGUUGGGGGUGAAAUCCCGGGGCUCAACCCCGGAACGGCCUCCAAAACUCCCAGUCUUGAGUUCGAGAGAGGUGAGUGGAAUUCCGAGUGUAGAGGUGAAAUUCGUAGAUAUUCGGAGGAACACCAGUGGCGAAGGCGGCUCACUGGCUCGAUACUGACGCUGAGGUGCGAAAGCGUGGGGGAGCAAACAGGAUUAGAUACCCUGGUAGGUCAGUC